CCUAGCCGCCGCCCCUUCUUGUCCAACCCUCGCCCCUCCGCCUCCUCUCCUCCCCACUCCCUCCUCUCCCAGGCCGCCGCCCUCGACACGCCGCCAGGGUGCCAUCGACACGUCAGGGAUAGGCAGUGGUGGAGCGCAGCCCGAGCCCAGCAGCAGUCCACUCCUAACCCCAAGCAAGAGCGAGCAGCGGAUUGGAUCAAGGGAGCCCUCGCGGCCACGCCACUGGCGCCUGGAUUUGCUAGCCGUCGCCUGGAUCCGCCCUAGCCGCCGCCUCGAGUCACCUCCAUCGUUGAUGUGGGUCAACCCCACCGCUGCCGCCAGGAAUCCCAUCCCGGCAAGGGGGCUUGUCCUUCGGUGGUGGUCAUCCGCCGUUUGAGAUUGGAGGGAGACUAGGAGACCCUGGCGGAAGCGAGCCUGCUAGCGGAGGCUCCAGGGAUGCUAGGUGAUAGGGCCCAGUCCAUGGACCGGUUGUGCUGCUGGGAUUUUCAGGAUGAGCCUUCCUAUCCAAAAUUAUCGGAUAAAUUCAACAUAUCUGUGGAAAUCUAGUUUUCUGCAGAUUCAGACGACUCUGAAUGUUGUUCCAUAACUGAUGACUCAAAAUGAUUAUACACUGAAACCGAAGCCUUUGGAAAAUGAAACAGAAACCUUACUUGAGAGCAGGUAGAGGCGUGGAGCCAAUGGUGAUGUUGUUGUUGCCUGCUCUUCUAAACUACUGCUUGUUCAUCGUUUGCUGUUUUGCGUAUCAAGGAAGGUAACUACUCAAAGCAGUUGGCAAGGCAAGCAUUCGAUGGAGCUCAAGCGUUGAUCUUGAAGGAAGGUAACUACUCAAAGGUAUGCACCUAUUCAUGUUGGAGCAGUUAAGUUUGCAAGGAUUUGCUGCUGGAGGGCAUGGUAUGUGCUCUCAAGAAGUUCUUUGUGAUCCGGUGACAUCUUUUGGCCUAUUGGGCAACUGGACAUGAUUUAUAUUGCGAAGUUCAAUGUAUGGAUGACAACUUCCUCUCAUAUCUGUUAUGUAUAUUUUAUAUACAUGGCUUUCGUGUUCUAUCAUGUGCGUUCCUGCUGCAGACUUUUGUAGGGAAAUUCACCAUGAAUUAUAAUGUAUAUAUUUUCAACUACAGCCAUUUUUUUCAGAAGGCAAAAUAAUUUCUGCAUGAUCACAUGUCAUGAUUAUCUCCAUGAAAAAUGCUUUAGACAGUACAAAAAUGCUUUAGACUGUACAAAAUUGUAAAGGAAUCAUGGGACAGUGUUGUAUGUCGCUGCUGAACAGAAGCAGGAUGCAACCAUAAAGAUUUUGUUGGAUCACCAUUCAGAUGUAAGUCCCAUUAAAUGUCUCUUUAUCAUUAUCUUAAAUCACAUUCCUUUAUAGUUUUCUCACUGUUAUAUUUGAUAAUCUUCGAUUGUCUGCUUUCUCCAUUUUCCAGUUAAUUUAAUCCCGAUAGUAAAUUAGUUAGUAUUUUGUUUUAUCUCUGAAAUCUCGAGAAGUACACAAGUUGUUAGGUGUCAGAAAAAGUACACAAGUUGUUAACAUUUGAAAUUAGAUUGUCUCUGACCGAACGAAGCUGUUGAGGAAGAAGGGAUAAAUAAGUGCCGAGAAGAAGGGAUUAGUAAGUUGCUUGAUUCAUGGGCCGAACUGGUUGCCAUACGACUGCUUUGAAAUAUACAUGCAUCUAAGUGGCACAUAAUACUCUCUUUUUUCAAACGCACAAAAACAAAAAUGCUUUAGACUGUACAAAAUUGUAAAGGAAUCAUGGGACAGUGUUGUAUGUCGCUGCUGAACAGAAGCAGGAUGCAACCAUAAAGAUUUUGUUGGAUCACCAUUCAGAUGUAAGUCCCAUUAAAUGUCUCUUUAUCAUUAUCUUAAAUCACAUUCCUUUAUAGUUUUCUCACUGUUAUAUUUGAUAAUCUUCGAUUGUCUGCUUUCUCCAUUUUCCAGUUAAUUUAAUCCCGAUAGUAAAUUAGUUAGUAUUUUGUUUUAUCUCUGAAAUCUCGAGAAGUACACAAGUUGUUAGGUGUCAGAAAAAGUACACAAGUUGUUAACAUUUGAAAUUAGAUUGUCUCUGACCGAACGAAGCUGUUGAGGAAGAAGGGAUAAAUAAGUGCCGAGAAGAAGGGAUUAGUAAGUUGCUUGAUUCAUGGGCCGAACUGGUUGCCAUACGACUGCUUUGAAAUAUACAUGCAUCUAAGUGGCACAUAAUACUCUCUUUUUUCAAAUGCACAAAAACAAAGUUGAUAGAAACACUACUCUUUCUAAAAUAGUAUAAGGCCUCCUUAACAGGUUUUAUACAUGGUGUUAAGUAUACAUAUGUUCUGAAGGGGUUUUAUUGCCUAGCAUUUUGAACCCAAGGGGUUUUUCUCUGUCAAAUCAGCUUAUAAAAUUCAGUUUGGUAUUACCCAGCAACAAGCUAACCGUGCUACUGGUGAAGGCUUAGCAGGCUUGCAGUGGAGGAAAGGGGUCUGGCAAGCCGUAUGGAAAGCUCAUUGCCCUCCCAAAGUACAACACUUCUUAUGGAGAUGUCUGUUUGAAGAUGGCGGCCAUCUUUUCCUUCGCUGUAAGUUAGU